rnacentral:tRNA from 1 species
GUCCCUCUAGCUCAAUUGGACAGAGCGUCGGGUUGCGGUCCCGGAGGUUGGGAGUUCGAGUCUCCCGAGGGACGCCA